UACGAAGGGGGCUAGCGUUGCUCGGAAUCACUGGGCGUAAAGCGCACGUAGGCGGAUUGUUAAGUCAGGGGUGAAAUCCUGGAGCUCAACUCCAGAACUGCCUUUGAUACUGGCGAUCUUGAGUCCGGGAGAGGUGAGUGGAACUGCGAGUGUAGAGGUGAAAAUUCGUAGAUAUUCGCAAGAACACCAGUGGCGAAGGCGGCUCACUGGCCCGGUACUGACGCUGAGGCGCGAAAGCGUGGGGAUCAAACAGGGAU
rnacentral:rRNA from 1 species